GACGAACGCUGGCGGCGCGCCUAACACAUGCAAGUCGAACGAAGAAUGACUUCGGUUAUUCUUAGUGGCGGACGGGUGAGUAACGCGUGAGUAACCUGCCUUACAGAGGGGGAUAACAGUUGGAAACGACUGCUAAUACCGCAUGACAUAUCUUAGCUGCAUGGCUUAGAUAUCAAAGGAGCAAUCCGCUGUAAGAUGGACUCGCGUCCAAUUAGCUAGUUGGUGAGGUAACGGCCCACCAAGGCGACGAUCAGUAGCCGGACUGAGAGGUUGACCGGCCACAUUGGGACUGAGAUACGGCCCAGACUCCUACGGGAGGCAGCAGUGGGGAAUAUUGGGCAAUGGGCGCAAGCCUGACCCAGCAACGCCGCGUGAAGGAAGAAGGCUUUCGGGUUGUAAACUUCUUUUGUCAGGGAAGAGUAGAAGACUGUACCUGGCGAAUAAGCCACGGCUAACUACGUG
rnacentral:rRNA from 1 species